GUGCCCAAGGCCUGUCGACUUCCUUAGAAAGACAUGACGCUUCAUAAUUGCGCAUGUGUGGUCUGACCUUCUGGAAAUAGAUACCAGUUAUUAAUAUAAAAAUAUUUUGUUACAGCAACAUUGCUCCUAUCUGACUUUGUCUAUUCAACUUUGGGAACAAAUAAAAUCAUUUUUAUCAAAUAUUUUGAUUUAUGUCACACUACCAUAUGUAAAUUAUUAUUAUUUUAUAUAAAUUAUUACCUAUUUCAGUUUGUCUUUGUCUAUGUUCAUAAAAUCUAUGGAGGUCAGAGGCACAUAUACCCUCCAUAAAGCCUUGCACUUGGGUCUGGCCGGUUAGAACAUAGACAAAAGUCUGCAAUGUCAAUGCUGUCAAAGUCAUUGACGCAAAACUAUCAGUUAUCAUAUAAAAUGAUUAAAUAACGAUUUAUGUUGUUGAAAUAGAUUUAUUGAUUAAUUUUUAAAAUUAAAAAUCCACCGCACAGUAUCUCCGCUCAGACUCGGUUAAAGUUUAAUCCAUUGUACUAAACUAAGAAACAACAAUUAUUUCAAGAGGGUGAACGUGAGCAAAAAAUCCUUGGGCGUCAUAUCAUUUCCUUGGAAAGGCUCAAAAUCAAAAGGCACGGAACCGCCACAUAAUUGUGACUAGUUGUAGUUUCCCGGUGACCAUCAACAAGACCGCUGCACUGAGCUGUGGAGCAGAAAGUGUCCGACAAUCGGAUAGAUGUAAUAACAACUUUGUCUGUCAUAUAUUCAUGUAAUUUUUAGUUUUUUGGGCUGAUAUAUGUGAUAUGAUUACAAGUUACACUAAUUGCAAUUGUGGAGUAAAAUCAGAUGUGCCAAAGAUCAUGUUUUAGAUAUAUAAAAAGCUAUAUUAAAUGCAAUAAAUAGUAUAUGUAUAUAUAUAAAA